AAGUCUGAUGAGCCCACAUGGCUGGUGGCGGAGGUUGAGACUGUGGCAACGGAGGCAUCAUCAUCAUGUAAGGCGCAGGAGCUUGCUGGUAUUGAGCCUGUGGAGGUGGUGGAGCCAUUGACGGUGGUUGAGGUGGGCCCAUAGGUGGCUGUGGAGGUGGUAUGCCUCCAGCUCCUGGCUGCUGCAUCAUGGCUUUAGAUAUUUGGAGGAGAGGAGAGAAGAGAAAAGAAACCCUAGCUCUCGAGAGUGAGAGAAUGAAAGAGGGAUCCAAUAGGCG
rnacentral:lncRNA from 1 species